AGCAGCCGCGGUAAUUCCAGCUCCAAUAGCGUAUAUUAAAGUUGUUGCAGUUAAAAAGCUCGUAGUUGAAUUUCGGGAUCAAUUUAUCGGUCGUGCCAAUGGUAUGAACUGGUACAAUUGGUUUCUUCCUUCUGAUAAAGCGUGAUGCCAUUAACUUGGUGUCGCCGGGGAAUCAGAACUGUUACUUUGAAAAAAUUAGAGUGUUUAAAGCGGGCUUAGGCUUGAAUACAUUAGCAUGGAAUAAUGAAAUAGGACGUUUGAUCCUAUUUUGUUGGUUUCUAGGAUCGACGUAAUGAUUAAUAGGGAUAGUUGGGGGCAUUAGUAUUCAAUUGUCAGAGGUGAAAUUCUUGGAUUUAUUGAAGACUAACUACUGCGAAAGCAUUUGCCAAGGAUGUUUUCAUUAAUCAAGAACGAAAGUUAGGGGAUCGAAGACGAUCAGAUACCGUCGUAGUCUUAACCAUAAACUAUGCCGACUAGGGAUCGGAUGAUGUUAAUUUUUUAAUGACUCAUUCGGCGCCUU
rnacentral:rRNA from 1 species